GAUGAACGCUAGCGGCAGGCUUAAUACAUGCAAGUCGAGGGGCAGCAGGUCUGUAGCAAUACAGAUGCUGGCGACCGGCAAACGGGUGCGGAACACGUACAGAACCUUCCUUCGAGCGGGGAAUAGCCCAGAGAAAUUUGGAUUAAUACCCCAUAGUACAUUGAAGAGGCAUCUCUUUAAUAUUAAAGAUUUAUCACUUGAAGAUGGCUGUGCGGCUGAUUAGGUAGUUGGCGGGGUAACGGCCCACCAAGCUACCGAUCAGUAACUGGUGUGAGAGCACGACCAGUCACACGGGCACUGAGACACGGGCCCGACUCCUACGGGAGGCAGCAGUAAGGAAUAUUGGUCAAUGGACGCAAGUCUGAACCACGCCAUGCCGCGUGGAGGAUGAAGGUCCUCUGGAUU
rnacentral:rRNA from 1 species